AGCGGGCCGGCGAGCUGGUUGUGGCUGACAUCGAGCACCGUGAGCUCCCGCAGGCGGCCGAGCUCCGGCGGCAGGCAUGACUCGAGGCCGUUGUUGAUGAGCAAGAUCUCGUUGAGCGUGCCGGACAUGUUGGCGAGGCUGGCGGGGAGGCACCCGCCGAAGGUGUUGUGCGAGAGGACGAGGACGGAGACCGGCGAGUUGCCGAUGUUGUCCGGAAUCUCGAAGCGGAAGCGGUUGUGGUUGAGGAAGAUGGCGUCGAGCGGGCGGUCGAAGAGGCGGCUGGGCACGGCGCCCUCGAACUCGUUGAACCGGAGGUCGAGGAACCGGAGCGCCGGCAUGUCGAGCACGACGUCGGGGAAGGGGCCCACGAAGCGGUUGUUGCUGAGGUCGAGCUCGUGGAGGAGGCUGAGCCGGCGGAGCGUGCCCGGGAUCAUGCCGCAGAAGCGGUUGGAGUUGAGGUGCAGCAGCGCGAGGUCGGCGAGCAGGCCGAGCUCCGGCGGGAGGUAUCCCGCGAUGUCGCCGUGGUUGAGGUCGACGCCGGCGACGGCGAGCACGCGCGGGUCGGACGGCAGCGGCGCGCAGAAGACGCCCGUGUAG
rnacentral:rRNA from 1 species